rnacentral:rRNA from 1 species
AGCGAACGCUGGCGGCAGGCUUAACACAUGCAAGUCGAGCGGACCUUUCGGGGUCAGCGGCGGACGGGUGAGUAACGCGUGGGAACGUGCCUUCCGGUUCGGAAUAACCCUGGGAAACUAGGGCUAAUACCGGAUACGCCCUUAUGGGGAAAGGUUUACUGCCGGAAGAUCGGCCCGCGUCUGAUUAGCUAGUUGGUGGGGUAACGGCCUACCAAGGCGACGAUCAGUAGCUGGUCUGAGAGGAUGAUCAGCCACACUGGGACUGAGACACGGCCCAGACUCCUACGGGAGGCAGCAGUGGGGAAUACUGGACAAUGGGCGCAAGCCUGAUCCAGCCAUGCCGCGUGAGUGAUGAAGGCCUUAGGGUUGUAAAGCUCUUUUAUCCGGGACGAUAAUGACGGUACCGGAGGAAUAAGCCCCGGCUAACUUCGUG